rnacentral:lncRNA from 1 species
UUUUUUUGUCUUUUUAGGGCCACACCUGUGGCAUAUGAAGGUUCUCAGGCUAGGGGUUGAAUCAGAGCUGUAGCCACACCACAGUCAUAGCAACGCCAGAUCCAAGCCCCAUGUACCACCUACACCAUAGCUCACGACAAUACCAGAUCCUUAAUCCACUGAGCAAGACCAGGGAUAGAACCUGUGUCCUCAUGGACGCUAGUCAGAUUUCCACUGAGCCACCACGGAAAUUCCCAUUCACCCUAUUUUAUUCAUUUCUUUGAUGGAAAGGGACACUGAAUUAGCAAUUAUAAAUGGGAACACAUCAUUGUCCACCAAAAUACUAUUAUCUUAUAAUUUAAUCAGUGCACUUUUGAGUUCAUCUAUAUCUCAAUAUUGUUGAAUAACAAUGCAGUCCAUAUUUCUUAUUCAUCUAGGAUAUUAUAAUAAUAGCAUUAGUUCCUAGAUAUUGUCAUUAUCUAUAUCAUCGAUUAAUAAAUACUUUCCUGCAGAAAAAAGUGCUGAAUCUCUGGCAAUAUCGAGUAAAACAGAUCUUACACAUAUUGUGAAAGGCAGUCUUUAUAGUUAGUUACUGACAUUUACUAUAAUUGAUGUAAACCAUAUAACUGAGGAAAUUAAUAAUGUGAGAAUGUUCUUUCUUUAGAAGAAUAUCUUACUCCAAAGGAAGAGAGCGCUGGGAACUCGUAAUGGGAAGAACACUGCCCAGAGCAUCCAAGUUCUGGCCAUGAGAUGCCUGAGAAAGUAACACACAUGAACCAGUGAGAAGGGAGCAGACAUCUGACACAGAAACAGAGGAAACAGAAGCAGAAGUCUGCUGGGGAUAAGGAAGGUUCCGAGAAAGGCAUUUCCGGUGCUUCCUUGACUCCCUGCCUACUCCCUGCUCAACUUGCUGCUUCUGAACUAGAUCCAUGGCCACCAGGGCAGCAUUCAUCCUGAUGCCACAGGAUGACAAGCAUGGUGAUGCACAGGGUCAUAAUCCCCAGUGCGUCUGGGGCCAUCUAGGUGUGCCUGCAGUGCUCCUACGCUGGUUUUUGCCCUGGCAUUUUUCUUUUCAAAUAAAGUGUCAUUAUUAGGAAUUGCAUUCAAAUGAGCUAAAAUGGGUUAAGCAGACAUCUCCUUUCCACUUCCUGCUUCUGGCAGGGAGCAUGCGAGAUGCUAAGCAGCAAAAAGCGCCCUCAUUUUAAAACAUGGUUCCAUCCAAAGAAGACUAGUAUCUUCUUUAGACACUGUCUCUACUGCUGACCCUCUCCAAAUGAAAUACUACCAAAUACUCCUUACAAAGACAGCAUGCAGUGUUUCCAAAGAUAAAAUGGAGCAUACCUGACACCAGGGGUUAAGGACAGAUGCAGGGGUGGGGGCUGCUGAUGCCACUGCCACCUGGGCCACGUGCUGCUGUACCAGCCAGAUGCAUUGUGGACAAGGACUGUAAGGGGAACAGAGCUAUCAGGCCACCAGGCAGAGGGACUGGAGAGGAACAUGGGAGGUGGUAGGUCAGAUCCUGGGAAACAGAGUCUAAGCAGUUCCUCUUGAGAACAAACCAAGAGAAGUCUCAACAGUGGUGGAGUCAUUAAACCUACAAUUAUUCAUAUAACUUAUUUUGGCAAAGCUCUUCCUUUUGCAAUGAACCAUUCUGUCAUCAAUUAGCUCUAAAGGUUAUGUUUAAGGAAAAUACUAUCAAAUUUCCAUUUCUCAAAGAAAUUGAGGAAAAUUGCAUAACUUUUCAAAAUGUUUGUCCACUGAGAAUCAUGGUGAUACAUCUGACCACGUGAAAAUCAGAAGACACAAAUCUGCUAAAGAAAAAACUUUUCAAAAGGCCUCAGUUAGGUUAAGAAGCCAAUAUCUGAAACAGAAUGAUUCAGGAUGAGAGGCUGCAGAAGAGGUGUUUAUCACCCUGUGAAGCAUGACAGCAAUUACAUCAAAUGCCUGACUUCUAGAUUAAUUUUGUGCAUUAUUUUAUUCUAAGUUUUUCUUGUGCACAUAAGAAAAGCUAUUAAUACGUUGUCUCCAUUUAGCAAAUGAACUUCACAGUUAAAUUAUCCUGUGCCAUAAAUGCUUCAAAUAAAAGCACAAAAAUGAAAAUCAGUUAAAUUUAAUGCCCAGAAUGAUUUUCAUUUUAAAAUCUAAUUUAAUAUAUUUGAGACAAAGCUUUUAGAAGCUCAUUCUGUUGAAAUGGAAAAAUAUAACGAUACGGUAAAUACUACUUUAGCUAAAAUUUUUUGUUCAUGGUUAACAAAAAAUUUCUAGUUCAACAUUAUACUAAUCAAAAUAACAGCCGUAGUUGACAAAAGUUACGUGUGUGCAUAUUUGUGUGCAUUUAUAAACAAAUUCCCUAAGUUUUGAAUGCUUUUUCAACGUAUUCAGUAAAGAGAGUGCCAAAAAUGUUGGCUUUUGAAGCUUUGGGUCAAUUGCAAUUACUAAGAAUAAACUCGAACAGGAAAAAAUAGGAGCAAGGAAAGAACUGAACAAACUGGACAAUGAGAGAUCAAAUGGAUUUCAAGAUUUAAUGUUUAAAUUCCCUGUGUUUAGGAGUAGUUUAGCUAGUGGGGAAAAUCUUUAAAUAAAGCUCUUAGUUUUUAUUGGAUAAUUUUAUACUCCAUAUGAGAUCAAAAUAAAAUUGACAUGACCUACAAUUACAUGGUAUCUAAAUUUGAUAAAACUUCAAAAGAAUCAACCUAUUUGACAAAUUUUAUUUUAUAUAUUUGUCUAAGAAAAUUACUCUGGCGUUUCUGUCCAUGGCACAGCAGAAAUGAAUCCAACUAAGAACCAUGAGGUUGCAGGUUCCAUCCCUGGCCUUGCUCAGUGGGUUAAGAAUCUGGCAUUGCCAAGAGCUGCAGUGUAGGUCACAGACGUGGCUUGGAUCUGGUGUUGCUGUGGCUGUGGUGUAGGCCAGCAACUGUAGCUCCAAUUAGACCCCUAGCCUGGGAACCUACAUAUGCUGCGAGUGCAGUCCUAAAAAGAAAAAAAAAAUUACUCUGGAUUGAGGCACAGAGAGAUUGUUUGUGAAACUACCUGAUCUAUGAUGUUUAUUAUUUUAUAAUAUUAAAAUAUUAUACUUAAGAAUAUUUUUCAUUUAGCAAAAUUUCCUCUGAGUUUAUGAGAACCUCAGCAUUUAUAGAGAGGAUACUAAUAAGUCGAAAUAUUAGGGUUUACAGAGAAUGCCAAUUGAAGGAGUACUGAUAUAAAUUUAAUAACAAUUUAACAAAAUAAACUUUACUUAAAAAUAGAUGAAAUAAAAUAAACUGUACUUAAAACUAGACCUUUUAAUCACUACCUUAGCUCAUAUUCACAUAUACGGGAGUUCAUUUAGCCAUACUGCUUACAAUAAAAAUAUUAUCAUUUACAAUAAUAUUUUAGUAAAAACAAAUAGCUGUCUAAUGCUGUACACAAAAUAUUUAAAAUAUUGUUGACUUUAUCUCAAAUUAGUCCAAUAUUCUCAUAAUCUACAUAUUUAUAAAUGCAAUGGUAUAUGCAUAGAAUCUACAAGUUACACCUACUGGGUAUACAUAAUGGAAAAUGCUUUGACAGGGUGCAAAGAAGAUGAAAUCUGGAGGCCAAUGCAAGAAAGGUAGAGCUUCUCUCCUGAAACUGCCUAUUGGAACAGAAGGAGAUGGCUUUGAGGGGGUGAUUCUUUUUAUUGAGAAAUGUCUGAUCAUUUCUGGAAGCACCAUGCUGCUCAUAAACCACAGCUCAAAUCCAGGCAAGGGAUGCAGAGUCUACAGCCUGUGGGAACUCUGCUCUCAGCCCAGACAGACCCCCAAGGUUUGCCCCUACCUGGUGAACACAAUCAACAGCCUUCAGCUGGAAGAGAUGUGUGAAACCCUGAAAGUGAAAACAGAAGCCCAUGGAUCCACCCAAAGUGAUGCAAUCAGAUCCAGACCUCCCAGGCUUUAUUCUUGUGAUUUUUCAUUAACUGUACCACAUGUUUUGUUCACAGAGAGCCAUACUUAAGAGAGCACUAAUUAGGAAAAAAGGUAUUUCUAAUCUCAUGCCAAUGGACCUUUAUUUCUACCUACUUGUUACCUUUUGGUUAACUAGCUUGUGGAGGGAGAGUUAUUUCAGCUUAGGAAAUUGUCCUCCUUUCUAAGGAGGACAUGAAACAACAGUCAUUGUUAGAAAGAAGACAGACUCAGAAAAUGGAAGUUCCCCAUUGUUUCAUCAAUUUACCCUUUGCUUCAUAUAAUGAGUGUCCUAAAGUGAGCAGAUUCUUUCUUUCUGAAUCCUGAAGGCUUGGGAAGACCCAGAUAUUGCAAAGACAAGAUGUCGACAAUAAGCCUUUUAAUGAUACGAACUUCCUCAGCAACGUCAUGAUGACCUGGGAUAAGAAUGUUGGACUCAAUGGAAUGAAAUACUACAGUUUUAUAGGUGUUAUUCUAAAAAAAAAAAAAACGCAUAUAUUGGAAAACUCUUGCUCUGGUGACAUAAACCAUGGCCUGGAAAAAUCAUCGGGCUGUUUCUCUUUAGCUCUUUGUCCACGUGAAGUAUUACAAGUUUAGAAGAUUGAGACCUUAUUCCCUACUUCACUACCACUUUCUCCACCCCAGAAUGAAUAUUAAAACAUCCUCCAAAAUAGCCUGGCACAAAAGAGGCAUAUCUUUAGGAGUCAUUUUAGAAGGAGGAUGUUUUACUGCCCAGUCCAAUGGGAGCUGAGGAGCCUGGCUGGCCCAAAGAACUGAAACUCUCCAAGAAAGGCAGCCUUGAAAAUGUCAGGGUUUGUUCUUGUUUGAGUUAUCACAGGCAAAAGAGGUAGAAUAUUAAUGAGCAUAUUUAACUCUGAUUCAUCACAGUUUAAUAUACUCAUUUUUAUAGAGCAGCUGGACCAAAGAACUUCUGUUUAGAAUAGCAAUUUCUAUUUCAUAUCAAACUCUCAAAAUAAAAUAAUGAGGCUCUAAGGGAAGCACUCUAAUUAUUAUUAAUUAGUUAUGUCCUUGGUUAAUCUGGGUGGAUGGAGUUGUCUUCCAAUACAUUUUAUUGUGCAUCUCUUCAUAUACAUUUUCCGAGAGCCCUUCCUUUAAUUUAAGGUGACCAAUUUAGGAGGAAAUAACGAACAAGGCCACCCCGGACUGGAAGUCGAAGGCUUAUGUGGAAUAAAUAAGCAUACAUUAGCUCUCAAUAGUUUCAGACCUGUGAUUAAGUAAAAGAAAUAAACAAAAAUAUUAAAGCAAUAGCCUUAAUGAAAAUCAAAGAUGACAGCUCUAUGACAAGGAGCGCAAUAGUGGGCUUUGAUUUUGGAACACCAAUGAUUUUUUUUUCUGUAUUUAGAAUACCUUCAUAAACAAAAAGUAACAUUUUUAUAGUCCUGAAAUCUCUUAUCUCAGUCAAAAUAUUUUGAAAGCUAAAUCUCAUCAUGAAACUUCACAGAGUUCCUGCUUUAAGAAGCCAGGGACCCUUAGAGGCAGAGGGCCUGUUCCAAGAGGUCCACUGCUCGUCAUCCCCAGUGGUAGGACUCAGGGCUACAAGAAGAUAAAUUCACUGUGAAAAUACAAUAAAAUACUACUCUUCCACAUUUUAAAAAUUGCCCCCAGAACACACUUAUUGAUGGGGCAUGUAUAAUGAGGGUGGGGGUGGGGAGGCUAGUGUGACUGUGGGUAUUAUAUUAGCACCAGGCAGUUAGUGACAGAAUUGCUUGUUGCAGGGAAAAUUCACUCAUCUGGAGUACAGAAGUAUUUAGGGUGUAAACAGAGUUUUUUGGUUUUUUUGCUUUUUUUUUCCAGCUAUGACGACCCAUCCAUUCUCAAAAAAAAAAAAAAAAAA